rnacentral:rRNA from 1 species
UGGCUCAGGACGAACGCUAGCGACGUGCCUAAGAAAUGCAAGUCGAGCGAGGCCAUGGAGCUUGCUCCGGAGGCCUAGCGGCGAACGGUCGCGUAACACGUAAGCAACCUGCCCCAAAGUUUGGGAUAGCCCUCCGAAAGGGGGAUUAAUACCGGAUGUGGAUGUCGAUAUGCAUGUAUUGACAUCUAAAGCAUUUAUGCGCUUUGGGAUGGGCUUGCGGCCUAUCAGCUAGUUGGUGAGGUAACGGCUCACCAAGGCGACGACGGGUAGCUGGUCUGAGAGGAUGGUCAGCCGGACUGGGACUGAGACACGGCCCAGACUCCUACGGGGGGCAGCAAUUAGGAAUCUUGCGCAAUGGGCGAAAGCCUGACGCAGCGACGUCGCGUGAACGAUGAAGUCUUUCGGGAUGUAAAGUUCUUUUCUGAGGGAAGAAGGAUGUGACGGUACCUCAGGAAUAAGCCCCGGCUAACUACGUGCCAGCAGCCGCGGUAAUACGUAGGGGGCGAGCGUUGUCCGAAUUUACUGGGCGUAAAGCGCGCAUAGGCGGACUCUUAAGUUGGUGGUGAAAUGCCGAGGCUCAACCUCGGAACUGCCUUCAAAACUGGGAGUCUAGAGGCUUGGAGAGGGAAGUGGAAUUCCUGGUGUAGCGGUGAAAUGCGUAGAUAUCAGGAGGAACACCGAUGGCGAAGGCAGCUUCCUGGCCAUGUCCUGACGCUGAGGUGCGAAAGCUAGGGUAGCGAACGGGAUUAGAUACCCCGGUAGUCCUAGCCGUAAACGAUGGAUACUAGGUGUUAGAGGUAUCGACCCCUCUAGUGCCGAAGCAAACGCAUUAAGUAUCCCGCCUGGGGAGUACGGCCGCAAGGUUGAAACUCAAAGGAAUUGACGGGGGCCCGCACAAAGCGGUGGAGCAUGUGGUUUAAUACGUCACUAACCGUAGAACCCCACCCAGGCUUGACAU